rnacentral:rRNA from 1 species
UACGAGGGGGGCAAGCGUUGUUCGGAAUUAUUGGGCGUAAAGCGCGUGUAGGCGGCUCCUUAAGUCUGAUGUGAAAGCCCCGGGCUCAACCCGGGAAGUGCAUUGGAAACUGGGGAACUUGAAUACGGGAGAGGGUAGUGGAAUUCCUGGUGUAGGAGUGAAAUCCGUAGAUAUCAGGAGGAACACCGGUGGCGAAGGCGGCUACCUGGACCGAUAUUGACGCUGAGACGCGAAAGCGUGGGGAGCAAACAGG